rnacentral:rRNA from 1 species
CAGUCGCCGCGGUAAUACAGAGGGUGCGAGCGUUAAUCGGAUUUACUGGGCGUAAAGCGUGCGUAGGCGGCUUCUUAAGUCGGAUGUGAAAUCCCUGAGCUUAACUUAGGAAUUGCAUUCGAUACUGGGAAGCUAGAGUAUGGGAGAGGAUGGUAGAAUUCCAGGUGUAGCGGUGUAAUGCGUAGAGAUCUGGAGGAAUACCGAUGGCGAAGGCAGCCAUCUGGCCUAAUACUGACGCUGAGGUACGAAAGCAUGGGGAGCAAACAGGAUUAGAUACCCCAGUAGUCCCUGUCUCUUAUAC